UACGUAGGGAGCAAGCGUUGUCCGGAAUCAUUGGGCGUAAAGCGCGCGUAGGCGGCCCCGUAAGUCCGCUGUGAAAGUCAAAGGCUCAACCUUUGAAAGCCGGUGGAUACUGUGGGGCUAGAGUCCGGAAGAGGAGAGUGGAAUUCCUGGUGUAGCGGUGAAAUGCGCAGAUAUCAGGAAGAACACCCGUGGCGAAAGCGGCUCUCUGGAACGGUACUGACGCUGAGACGCGAAAGCGUGGGGAGCGAACAGG
rnacentral:rRNA from 1 species